rnacentral:rRNA from 1 species
GACGAACGCUGGCGGCGUGCCUAAUACAUGCAAGUCGAGCGAACAGACCAGGAGCUUGCUCCUCUGUCGUUAGCGGCGGACGGGUGAGUAACACGUGGAUAACCUACCUAUAAGACUGGGAUAACUUCGAGAAACCGGAGCUAAUACCGGAUAAUAUAUUGAAUCGCAUGGCGCAUUAGUGAAAGACGGCGUUGGUGGCAGCUAUAGAUGGGUCCGCGCCGCAUUAGCUAGUUGGUAAGGUAACGGCUUACCAAGGCAACGAUGCGUAGCCGACCUGAGAGGGUGAUCGGCCACACUGGAACUGAGACACGGUCCAGACUCCUACGGGAGGCAGCAGUAGGGAAUCUUCCGCAAUGGGCGAAAGCCUGACGGAGCAACGCCGCGUGAGUGAUGAAGGUCUUCGGAUCGUAAAGCUCUGUUAUUAGGGAAGAACAAAUGUCGCAGUAACUGUGCACGUCUUGACGGUACCUAAUCAGAAAGCCACGGCUAACUACGUG